rnacentral:lncRNA from 1 species
CGGAACUGGGAGCACUGGGAGGGGGGAGGGGCCUGGGACCCCCUCCCCAAACCUCGGGGUCUCUCCAGGGUUGGGAUUUGUUGCACAAAGGGGGGGGUGGGAUCCCCCCCGGAAUCCCCAAAUCCCCCAAAGCCGAGUCCUCGGGGGUCCCCUCAGUCACCCCGGUGUCCCCUCGAGGGGGCCCUCAUUGGUGUUCCCAGGGUGUCCCCAGGGUGUCCCCAAUGUCCCCGGGUUGUCCCCGGUGUCCCCCCCGAUGACACGGGCCAGCCCCAGGUGCAGCAAUGUCCAGCAGGUCCAUCCUGGACAUCCCAAUGUCCAGCUGGUCCCCUCUGGUGUCCAUCCUGCUGUCCGGCCGCAGUGUCCAUGUGUCCAGCCUCAGUGUCUGUCUGUCCAGCUGCAGUGUCACAUAUCACCAUGUCCAUGUGUCCGGCCGCAGUGUCCAUGUGUCCAGACGCAGUGUCCGUGUGUCCAGCUGCAUUGUCCAUGUGUCCAGCCGCAGCGUCACAUCCCACUCGGCCAGGCCAAGGCCGGACACCAAAUCCCUGGCGUGGUUCAGCCGCUCUGGGGGGAAGGACAUGGUCAGUGACCCCCAAAUCCCCCCCAGAGAUCCCCAAAUCUCCACCUGGAACCCCCAAGUGCUCCCCCAAAUCCCCCCUAAACUUCCCCAGAACUUUUGGGAAGUCCCGAAUUUGGGGAGGGAGCACCUCCAGGACCCGCCCCGGGACAAAUAUCCCUGAAAUCCUGGGGUUUGUACCCCAAAAAUCCCUGAAAUCCCAGGGCAGCUACUCCAAAAUCCCCGGAUUUGUCCCCAGAAUGCCUCAAGAUAGUGGGGAUGACACCAGGGACCCCAAAUAUGGGGACGGAUCAUUCCCCCGCAAGUUCCCACUCCCAUUUCCCCCUCAGUUUUCUUCCCCUUCUUCCCCUCACAUUUCCCGCCCUUUUCUCCCCUCACGAUUCCCGCUCUUUUCUCCCCUCAUGAUUCCCGCUCUUUUCUCCCCUCACGGUUCCCGCCCUUUUCUCCCCUCACGGUUCCCGCUCUUUUCUCCCCUCACGAUUCCCGCCCUUUUCUCCCCUCACGGUUCCCGUUCCGUCCCCAUCCCGAGGCUCCAGCGCGGUGCUCACCGCCCCGCUCCCCAGCAGCCCGAUGACCCUCGCCCACCUCUCGGCCGUCUCCCGGUUCUGCCCGCAGUCCGGGGC